CUUUCAGGGUGGAGCCUGCUGGAGUCCCAUUCUUGGUACCAGGUUUGUGGAAGUAUUCCUGUCAACUCACCAUCGACACAAACACAGUGAACAGAAAACUCAAACUGUCUGAAGACAACAGGAAGGUGACAUGUGUGGAGGAGCUUCAGUCAUAUCCUGAUCAUCCAGACAGAUUUGAUGAACCUCAGCUGCUGUGUAGAACUGGUCUGACUGGUCGCUGUUACUGGGAGGUCGAGUGGAGAGGAAGAGUUUUUAUUUCAGUGAGUUACAGAAGAAUCAGGAGGAAAGGAGACAGUAGAGACUGUUUGUUUGGAUUCAAUGAUCAUUCCUGGAGUCUGAGAUGCUCUAAUGAUGGUUACUCUGUCUGGCACAAUAACAUAAAAACUCGUCUCUCCUCCUCCUCCUCCUCCUCCGUCUCUAACAGAGUAUCAGUGUAUGUGGACUGUCCUGCUGGCAUUCUGUCCUUCUACAGAGUCUCCUCUGACUCACUGAUCCUCCUC